GGAGUUUUUUUUCUUUAUACUUCGGCCCUUGCUAACUUAAAAUUCUGAAUCCGUCCCCGAGGACAACCCAAAUGCAAAAUAGACAAAAUAAUAAAUUAAUAAUCCAUUGGAACGUUUAAAUUUAGUUAUAAAAUUAGAGAGAAUUUGUACUUAGCGAUAGUAUUGAAACAGCAGUUAAGAAUCCCCAUAUAGCAACUCCAAAUAUGCACCAAACAAACAAUCACCAGUUACUCAUUCCCAAAACUAGCAAGCACUAUCAAAGUCUCUCACGUAUUGUCCUUUUUCAUCCCAAAAAUACAGCCCCCAAACUUAUUUCCUCUAUGCAACCCACUCUUCCAGUUCAUUUUAGAUUCUAACGAUGUCUUCAAAAAAUCUAUAUGGGCUUGUAUAUAUGAUUAUGCUCUUCUCUUUCAUCACUAUCAUGAUCAUUAUUUUACUAAUUACUUGCUAUUGCACUGUCCAGCCAUCCCUCCAAAACGGUAAUCUCACAACUGCAGAACAAAAUGCAAUCACCAUCGAACUAGGCCUCGAUGAAGCCACUCUAGAAAAGUACCCAAAACUCAUCUAUGCUCAAGCAAAGCUCCACAAGGACAAGGCCAACUCUACCACAUCAUGUUGCUCAAUAUGCUUGGCUGAUUAUAAAGACACAGACGUGUUGCGGGAUUUACCAGAUUGUGGUCAUCUCUUUCAUCUUGAAUGUGUGGACUCAUGGUUAAAGCUGCAUGCUACAUGUCCGGUGUGUCGGAACUCGCCUCUAGCCAAGCCGGUGCCUUUGGAGGUGUCUCAUUAACGCAUUUUUUCAAUCAAUUUCCUUUGAUAGUAGAUGAAGAUAAUGCAACCCCGUCAUAACCUCUGUUGGAUAGGCCAGAAGAUGUCCAACAUAACAAUGAGAUAAUUGAAGGAGAGGGAAAGUACAAAUCAAUUGUUUGGAGUCAUCAACAAAGAAAAGGUAGAAGUUUGAAGAGGCAGCCUGACAAGAACAUAAUGAAUGUACCAAAGAACUAGCCCUUGAUUAGGAAGAAUGGGAGAUGGCAAGUAGUAUAUGUGAGAGAUUGGCAAGUUUCACAAGGUUACAGAGCUAUUCUCGGGUACCUCAUACCCUACAGCCAAUCUUUUCUUUCCUAAGGUUCUUCAUCUAUUGUAGAUGGAACUAAAGAUACAUUCCAAAACAUCAUCCGGAAUGAUUAUGAUGAUGAAGAAGAAAGUGGUGUCACAAUGACGGAAGAAAGUGAAGAUUAUUUUUGAAGAACUAGGCAAUUUUUAUUUUGUUAUGUAUUAGGAGUUUGGAUUAUUUUGUUGUGUCAUACUAUGAGAUUUUUGUUUUUGUAGUGACGUUGUCUUGUUAAACACUUCGAUAAUAUUAUUAAGUUUUUGCUAAAAAUUAGUUUGAUUUGAUGGGAUAAAUUUAUUUGUAAUUUCAAAUA